rnacentral:tRNA from 1 species
GGGGGGAUAGCUCAGUAGGAGAGCACAUGCUUAGAGUGCACGAGGUUCUGGUUUCAAUCCCCAGUGCCUCUA